rnacentral:lncRNA from 1 species
UUUACCCCUAUGUUCUAUUUUUAGCCAUGGCGGCCAUCUUGGUUAGUUGGCCGGAUCACCGGACACAUUUUUUUAACUAGAUACCCCAAUGAUGAUUGUGGCCAAGUUUGGUUUAAUUUGGCCCAGUAGUUUCAGAGGAGAAGAUUUUUGUAAAAGUUAACGCCGGACGACGGACGCAGGACGACGACGGACGACGGACGCCGGACGCCAAGUGAUGGGAAAAGCUCACUUGGCCCUUCGGGCCAGGUGAGCUAAAAAAU